UACGUAGGGACCAAGCGUUGUUCGGAUUUACUGGGCGUAAAGGGCGCGUAGGCGGCUUAACAAGUCACUUGUGAAAUCUCCGGGCUUAACCCGGAAAGGUCAGCCGAUACUGCGGGGCUAGAGUGCAGAAGGGGCAACUGGAAUUCUCGGUGUAGCGGUGAAAUGCGUAGAUAUCGAGAGGAACACCUGCGGCGAAGGCGGGUUGCUGGGCUGACACUGACGCUGAGGCGCGAAAGCGAGGGGAGCGAACGGG
rnacentral:rRNA from 1 species